rnacentral:rRNA from 1 species
UACGUAGGGUGCGAGCGUUGUCCGGAAUUAUUGGGCGUAAAGGGCUCGUAGGCGGUCUGUCGCGUCGGGAGUGAAAACUCAGGGCUUAACCCUGAGCCUGCUUCCGAUACGGGCAGACUAGAGGUAUGCAGGGGAGAACGGAAUUCCUGGUGUAGCGGUGGAAUGCGCAGAUAUCGGGAGGAACACCAGUGGCGAAGGCGACUACCUGGCCUGUUCUUGACGCUGAGGCGCGAAAGCUAGGGGAGCAAACGGG